GCGGGAAGCAAAAGAAGGCGUAGAAAGUUACUACCCACGCGGCAACAGUCAGCAUCACUGGACUUAAUUUUCAAGAAGUUAAGACAGAGUUAAGGAAGAUAACUGGAGAUGUGAUAAAGAUGGCAGGUUUCUGGUUCCAAAAUGAUCUGGAAGUGACGAGUCUGAUGAGCCAGAGCUUGAUGGUGUUGCAGUGGGCCUCCUUACUGUCAUUAGUGACCAUGACACAAGUCCAGUUCACUACCACCCUGUGAGAAUCUCUGUUGUUGUUGAAAGUGAUGCCGUGGUUAGCCUCCCCAGACUUGGCGAUGCCUUCCUGGUAAUCUUUGGACUGAUCUAUGCACUACACCUC